CCAUUAGUGGUUCAGUGGUAGAAUUCUCACCUGCCAUGGGGGAGGCCUGGUUCGAUUCCCAGCCAAUGCA
rnacentral:tRNA from 1 species